UACGUAGGGGGCAAGCGUUAUCCGGAAUUACUGGGCGUAAAGGGUGCGCAGGCGGCUUUACAAGUCAGGGGUCAAAGGCUAUGGCUCAACCAUAGUAAGCCCUUGAAACUGUGAAGCUUGAGUGCAGGAGAGGAAAGCGGAAUUCCCUGUGUAGCGGUGAAAUGCGUAGAUAUAGGGAGGAACACCAGUGGCGAAGGCGGCUUUUUGGACUGCAACUGACGCUGAGGCACGAAAGCAUGGGGAGCAAACAGG
rnacentral:rRNA from 1 species